UGUCCCUUCCAAAGACAUUUAAUAAGAUACAAUAUGAUAUCAAACACCACUGCCUCCUUUCAUUUUCAUUUUCAUUCGUUAAACAUAUUAAUAGCCGCAGAAAUGAAGUUCAGGGAAAUGUGUAAGCCUACAUUCUAUAAAACGAAAUAUUAAUCAAACAGUAGCCUAUUGUCUUUUUUUUUUUUUUUCAUUUUAACAUAUUAAUAGAUUAACUGACAACCCAUUCUCACUCCAAAGGCGUCAAAAACCGAAGCAUGGUCAAGCGCCCCUAGCGUCACUUUUAUGACGCCAAAUGUGCCUCUCGGCGUCGACUAUCGAAGCACUACGACCUUCAUUGCUUUCAAUGGGAAACUUUUGGCGUCAGAAUUCGACACGAGGACAGGAGAUGUUUAUCGCUAUGAAAUCACGUUCAAGAAGUCUCAUUCAGCACACAUCGCGCGAUACUUGCUAUCAGUUCCACAGUUUGGCUGAAAAGACGUAAAGGCAGUCAGCCCAGUGGUGUUUCUGGAGAGGGAUUCCUUCAGAAAUGGAGAAGACAGAAAGCUGCGGAGGCAGAUAUUUGCAGCAGAUUGUUUGAGGAUAACACUGCAGUUCUCCAUCAUGCACAAGGACUCACCUCGUUAACUCUUUAUCCCCCACACACACAGAUAUGGUCCCUGGAUCAGUGAUUAGACUUUGCAGUGGUUAGAUUUUUGCAGAAGAUGUAACUUUGUUUUAUUUAUAAGCUCAUAAUGAAUACAUUACAGAACCAGUGAUGAAAACAAUAGUUAAAAAUAGUAUUUUUCGUAUUGAUAAAGCAUUUUGUUCUCUUUUUCAAGCUUCAUACAGUGAACUUUUUAGACUUUAAUUAAGAGUUUUAGUAAAGGAGAUAUUCAUACACAGUCAUCCCCUAGCUCCAGUCAUGAAGUGAAUUCAUGAUGUUAUUGUCAAAGCUAGCAGGUGUUUGUUUUCCUGAACACUUUCUCUGUCUUCCAUUGUUCAGACAAUCAGUGUUUAUUUGAUGCUGUGCUGAUUGAGUUUUAUAGAUGAUAUUGCACACUUGACAUUUAUGUCUUCAUGGUGUUUUUUGUGAGUUUGAAACAUUUACAUUGUGUUGUAUAACAUUUUGGUCAAUUUAAUUUUUUUAAUAAAAUUGAUCUUUUUCCAGUGUUCUCUGAAAGACAUACUGUAUUUACUGUUUUGUUUUUUAAUAAAAGCAUUUUCAUUUGCAUACUGAAAAUAGUUAAUGUUUACAACAUAACUGCCUUUUUAUUCUUUAUGGUGGCAAAAACGAGCUUGGUGACAGAGGAUGCAGUGUAGUAAUUUGGGCAUGUUGUCUUUAAAUGAGUUUGACAUAUCAAUAAAUAAUGGAAGAUCCUUACAAAAAUAUGCAUGUUUAUUAUGCUUUAUGUAUUUAUUUGUUCAUUCAUUCAUUCAUUCAUUUAUAAUUUCUGUUUUUAUUCCUAGGGUUCAAAUGGUAGAG